rnacentral:rRNA from 1 species
GACANGAGCCUGCCCUGUGACACUGUUCAGCGGACGCGGCAUCCUAACCGUGCCAAGGUAACAUAAUCACUUGCCUAUUAAUUGUAGGCUAGAAUGAAAGGGUUGACGAAAUAAAGACUGUCUCAAUUAACCACCUAAAAAUUAUUUUAUACCUGAAGAAACGAAUAUGUCCUCGAAGGACAAGAAGACCCUAUAAAGCUUAGUUUCUACUAUUUAACUAAGCUAUAGAAAUAUUCGGUUGGGGCGACCCAGGGAUUAAUAAUCACCCUACAAACAAAAGAUAAAUAAAUCAAAUAACUGACCCUUAUAAAGAUCAUUAAAUCAUGCUACCUUAGGGAUAACAGGCUAAUCCCACUCAAGAGUCCUUAUCAACAGUGGGGUUUGGCACCUCGAUGUUGGCUUAGGGUAACUAUCUAUCGCAUAAGCUAUAUAAAGAUGGCUUGUUCAACCACUAAUUCCCUACGU